rnacentral:lncRNA from 1 species
GGAAAUUUUGUCCGUUUUCGGUUAUUAUCUUGAAAAUUAUUAUAGAUAGAGAUAAACUUCAAACAGCAAUUAUGUUCAGCAAAGUAAGAUCUACAAAUAAGUCAAGUGAUCAAAAUGAUCAGUUGACCCCUUAAGGAGUUAUUGCCCUUAAUAGUCAUUUUUUACCAAUUUUUCAUAAAUUUUUGUUAUCUUUUACAAAAAUCUUCUCCUCUGAAACUACUGGACCAAAUUUAACUCAACUUAGCCAAAAUCAUAAUUAGGGUAUCUAGUUUAAAAACUGUGUGCGGUGACACAGCCAACCAACAAAGAUGGCCGCCAUGGCUAAAAAUAGAAUGUAGGGGUAAAUGUAGAUUUUGGCUUAUAACUCUGAAACAAAGCAUUUAAAGCAAAUAUAACAAGGGGUUAACUUGUUUAGCUAGAAAAUAUCUAUCUGCCCUGAAAUUUUCAGAUGAAUUGGACUGCUGGUUGUUGGGUUGCUGCCCCCCAAUGGGUAAUUUUUAAAGAAAUUUGGCCG